rnacentral:misc_RNA from 1 species
CCUGCACUUUUAUCGUAAACUUUGUUUAGUUUUGAGAGGUCUACUCUCAAACUUGUUCUUUGAAAACUAGAUAAUAUCUUUUAUUUCUUUGUUAAUUAAAAUAACCGAGAACACCGCGUUUUAAAGAGUUUAAAACAUUUAAUGUUUAAUCGCUAAACUCAUAACCAUUAUCGUAAGAUAAUAUA